rnacentral:rRNA from 1 species
UACAGAGGGUGCAAGCGUUUAAUCGGAUUUACUGGGCGUAAAGCGCGCGUAGGCGGCUAAUUAAGUCAAAUGUGAAAUCCCCGAGCUUAACUUGGGAAUUGCAUUCGAUACUGGUUAGCUAGAGUGUGGGAGAGGAUGGUAGAAUUCCAGGUGUAGCGGUGAAAUGCGUAGAGAUCUGGAGGAAUACCGAUGGCGAAGGCAGCCAUCUGGCCUAACACUGACGCUGAGGUGCGAAAGCAUGGGGGAGCAAACAGG